ACACGUAUGAAGGUCAAGCUGAAAGACUUUACUCAAUGAUGUAAGUGGUGGUGCAUGGUCGUUCUUAGUUCGUGGAUUGAUUUGUCUGGUCUAUUCCGAUAACGAGCGAGACCCCGCCGUUCCUAAUAGGGGCGGUAGCCCGCUGGCCGAAAGGCCUGCAGCUGCCGCUUAAGAUUAACUUCUUAGACGUAUCAGAGCCGAUAAGGUUCUUGAAAUGGGUUAAUAACAGGUCAGUCAUGCCCUUAGAUGUUCUGGGCCGCACGCGCGUUACAAUGGCAUGUAUAGCGCGUGCUUGAAAAGGCGUCUCCGGGGCCGAAAGGUCCUGGUAACCCUUAAUCCCUGCCUUGACUGGGAUAGAUCUUUGCAAUUAUUGGUCUCCAACGAGGAAUUUUUAGUAGUCGUAGGUCAUUAACCUACGACGA
rnacentral:rRNA from 1 species